rnacentral:lncRNA from 15 species
AUGUUGCCUCCAUCAGUUAGUUUGUUUGUGUUAUUAUGUGACUUUGGUUGGUUUGGAUCUGAAUUAACCAUUUCCACCAUGAAGAUGUUUCCAGCAGUUAACCUUUUCAACAAAAAAAAAAAAACUUGCUUAUUCCAUAGAUGGAUACAUUUCUGGGAGUAUUUCAGUAGCAGUGAGGAUUUUUAAUUGUGUUUAAAGUCUCAAUUUUAAUCUUGCUUUAUUUCUGUAACAUCUGUUUUGCGCAUUUGUCUUUUUGCUUGUAUGUGUACACGUCUGUCUUUGAGACAGACUUUGGUUUGCUUUUAAAAGUGCUAUAUAAAUAACAAAAAAACUUGAAAUUAUAUUGGUAUUUAAACCACUGCAGAAAAUACAAGCUGAUUUGAAUUAAUGUUCCCUAGUGGAUGAAUUGUAAUAAUUUUGGUGAUCUUCUGAGUUUUCUACUUGCGAAAUAAGCAGGUUUGUAGUUUUGACUUGUCCUGUCCUCAUGUACUUUUGUUAGUUGUACUUUGAUCUAUGACAUUCCCAUCAACCUUAGCCGUAGCUCACCAUUUGUUUAUGGCUAAUUAGCUAAUGCUAGCCUCCUAAAAUGCUUGAAAGGAAUUCCCUGGUACUUUUUGUGUGUCAUAUGUCAGGUUUUCAUUUUUAAAAAUGUGGUUUUCUAAAUAAUAAAUUAUCUCUUGAAAUCAUUAUUAUAGUAAAUGUCAACAGACUUUGUUGGUGGCACCAAUAGUCUCUUCUUAACAAUAAAAGUACUAAAAUAUUGUCAAAUAAAACAGUAGUUUGAAUGUCAUCUUCUAACAAUAUCUUUGUAUGGUGCAUAUAAUAACUUCUGAGAUCAUACUUGUAACAUGAAAAUAAAAAGGAAAAUACUUAACUGUAGUGUAACUUUCAUAUCGUCCUCAUAUGUCGUCAAACACCGUCUCAUGACAGCAGGCCUUACGCCAUUUACUUUAUUAAAGGCAUCAUUCCCAGUUUGCCUGUGUGUGGUCAUGUAUACAAACCAUUUACGGUGGUAAAUUGGUUUGUGUUGAUUAAUUAACAAAACACACCCAGAGGAUGAGACCUCAGCCCCCUCAUCAACCCUGUUCACUCUCCAUAAACUCUCUGUAGCUCUCUGCGUCUUUGUCUCUCACUUUGUUCUGGUCCACGGAGCUCACAGUAGGAUUUAAACUAUGGCUGUCAUUAAAGAAUAACAAAUCACAGUGAACAUAUGCUGAUUGGCCUCUGAUCUAAAGCAGCCAAUA